CUUCCGGUUCCUUCUGUACCCAUGCCGGUGUUUCUAUUUCCGGGUUGCUUUGUGUGUCUGUGUGCAAUGUACUCGGAGGAUAAAGCUGAGUCAGGUGAAAAAGAUCUGAUAAAACUUACUGGGAAAGACUAAUGGAUGAUUUAGAUUAUAACAAUACAUUGGAACUAGAAGAAAGGGAUACAAAACUCGAUGGUGUGGACUCCUUAAUGGAACAUCUUACACUAAUUCAAAUUGAUCUGGAAACUGCCUCAACUGGUUCACCGUCUGAAAUUGUGUCCUGUUCGAGAAAUGUUUUAAGAAAGCAGAGGCACUGGGAAAACAUUAUCAUGGCUAGAAAGAGUAAAAGAAAACAGGAAAAGGAAAGAAGAAAAAUAAAGCUGUCGGGAAACACUGAUACAGGUACUAGCCAACAGUUGCACAGUAAAAGAUUUUUAAAAGCUUUAACCAAAGAGCGUCUUUUAGAAGCAAAGGAUUCUGGUCCAAGACUUUGUAUUGACUUAAGCAUGACAGAUCACAUGAGCAAAAAGGAAUUGGGUCGUCUGGCAGCUCAGAUCAGGAGGCUUUAUGGGUCAAACAAGAAAGCUGCAAAACCAUUCUGGCUGUAUCUGACAGGCUUUGUACAACACAGUCUGUUAUAUGAUGAAUGUUUGCGAAUGAAUGACGGAUUUGUCAAUUAUCUUGUUGACUCAACAGAAAGCAACUUUCUUGACAUGUUUCCAUUAGAAUCGAUCAUAUAUCUUACUCCAGACUCGGACCAUGUACUUGAAGAUAUUGAUCCAUAUAAAGUAUAUGUUCUGGGAGGACUGGUUGAUGAAAGUAUUCAAAAGAAAGUAACAUAUCACAAAGCUAAAGAAAAUGGCCUGCAGACUGCACGACUGCCAAUUCAAGAGUAUAUGGUUAAGAGAGAAAAUGAGAAAAAUUUUCACUCUGAGAUACUGGCCAUUAAUCAAGAUAUUUUCUAGACAUAAUCACAAGGGGCCUGGUGGAGACUGCAGUGAGAAAUACCUCCAUCCAGACCAUGCCGAUCCUCCUGGUGUUCCCCUGUUGUGGCUUUUGCUUGCUCCGUCUCCUCAGCUCCCGAGCUGGAUGCACUUCACGGCCGCCAUCCUGAUAUCCAGCGUUUGGAAAUUCAUUUCAGCCCAUUGAUACAAAAUUCAUGCAUCUGCCCCUGAAGAAGCGAGCAGGGUCUCGCGAAACUAGUAGGGCUUUAUUGAUGCUUGUUUUAUGCCUGCACAUGCUGGA